AUGUGGCCGGCCUUAGGGUGUUUUUGGGUUGUUUGGGCCUUUGUGAAUAUUUAGUCAUUAAGUUGUCAUACAACUUAAGUCAAUAGGCUUGACGUUCGAAGCCCAUUGGGCCUUAGGGCCCAAAACUAACUCGAGGUCUUUAACGAACUUUAUUCGUUUGAUUAAUUAACAUAUUAAUUAAUCAUUUCCAUAAAUAAUUAAACCAUUUAAUUAUUCUCACUCAUCUCCAUUGUUUCUUCAAUCUCUACCUUACACGGUGUACGAUCCAUUAGGUUCCUUUUAGCGAGGCAGUGGGCGAUUAGAACACUUUCAAAUCGAUUGUGAAUUGAAACUUACUUUCAAUUCUCCCUUUAGUGUUUAUACACGUUUAGGGCUUCCACAAACCAUGAGUGACACCUAGCAGUAUGUCAUGGUUACCCAAGCUAAUCAGAAGAGGUGGAGAACCUAUUCAGUUUAGGAUUACAAUGCAAUACGGUCUUUCUCUAAUACAAUACUCUUGACCACAUUGUUUGGUUUGAUAGUUUAUUCAUGUCUACUAUCCAAUGUGAUUCAUUUACUUAUAUGAUUACCUUGAAUGUGAUUUGGAAUGACUUCCUAAAUCUCAUUCAUACUCUGGCCAGAGAUUCUUAAUCAUAUCAUAGAGUAUUCUCCCUCAAACGAUUUGAAGGUUAGAGAUCCCUUGUUGCGCAUUCACUUGCCUCCAUGGUUAAGUGGCUUAACCCCAACUAUGCCGUAGACACCCUCUGAUGGGGUGACUUUGACAUAAUCAAAGAUCAAGGACCUAACCACAAGACAACUAUGAUGCCUCAGGUCAAAGGACUACUUUGCAUUAUCCCAACCUAUGAGUUCUCAUGUGACAUGAGUAUGAGAACUCUUCGUUGAUCGUGUUCAGUGAACUCAUUCUUUAUUGAGCACCUACAUGCUUGUCUUGGUGUCAUCAAACCAAUAACUUGAGACUAGUCACUCUCCCUAAGAGAAGACAUAACAUGUACUGAUCUUAACGGAUUGUCAAUGCCCAAUUGGCAAUCCUAUGAUCAGGAACGUUUAGGAUGUGUCUACGAAAGAGAAUGGUCUCAUGAAUCUAACUUGUUUAGAUUACAUUCUCCAAUCACAUAUUCCUUGGACUUAUCGUUUAAGCAUAUAACAUUUAUAUGAGACGGCUUAAAACAAUAAUCUUUGCCCUUUGAUAUUAAACUAGAUUAGUUUAACAUGUGAAAUGUCCGUAAAGUAUCAUCAUAUGAUUGGUUUUAGGGCACAUUUCCAACAAUCUCCCACUUGCACUAGAGCCAAUAAGCUUGGUUAUCAGUGAUGAUACCUCUUUUUGUAGUCAUUUCAUAAAUGGCUGAAGUAGUAGGCCUAGGCAAUGAAUAUCUAUAUGUUAUCCAUAGAAGCAACCUUGAGAAUAACGACGUCACCAUUAUACAUGAUUCUCAAUCAUGUGGUUCAGUCUCUCAUUUGUGUUCGGAUCAUGAUGAGACCUUGAUUCCCUGGCUUGAGCUAUCGCCCCAUUACUGUCGUAGUGUCGAUACACUAGAGACACUUUUUGGUUGGAACCGAAUAGAGAGUUCAUAAAUGAACUUUCCCAUCCAAACAACAUUGUUGUAAGCUUCUAUAUGGCAAUAUAUUUGCAUUCAUAAUGGAACAUACUAAAGUCAUUACUUUUAAUGUUUCCAUCCAAAUAUCUCUUUAGUCAUAAUAAAGAUAUAUCUGGUUAUCUCUUCAUUCAUAAUGAAGAAACAUCCAAUGAUGGAUUAGAUUCAUAAUCUAAUACAUUUACGCU
rnacentral:lncRNA from 1 species